AGGCGAAUACUAAAUUAGGGCUAUAUAUUAGUAUUGUAUUCUAACUAUUUUCUCAUAAAUGGCAAAUUUGCAGAGAAUCUUUCCUCUGACGAUAUUCAAAGGUCUUGUUUUUUUACUAUUGAUCACUAACAAUGCAAAAACAAUUGCAGCUCGCUAUGUUUCCUUCACAACCCCUCAAACAAAUGACCAUCCUCCUCAAAAACCAACAUGCAUGAAACGUGAAUGCAACAGGGACAUGCAGAAUAAUCUAAGUCCAUCUCUUCCUCAUAGUUUUCACCAAAAAGCUAGUUUGAGUCCAACAGGUUUAAAUUCAAUACAACGUUAUUCCUUACAACCUAAUAAUAAUAUUGUUGAUCGUGUUUUCAGAGAAAGUUUGGAAGGUCUAUAUACAAGAAACCGUAGCACCUUGCAACGUGGUUAUACCGCAAAAAGACUGGUCCCAACAGGUCCUAAUCGAAUGCAUAACCGUUAAAUAUAAUUGUCCAUCUUCCUCAUGAGCAGCUGCAAAGAAAAUGGAGGAAUUGACUUGUGGAAGGUAUUUGCCAAGUAUGAUAGUGUGGGGGAAGUGUGUAAAGAGUAAUCAAAUAAAUGUUUUUUCUUGUAAAAUAACACUAGCUCUAAAUUUUACUACACAAUUUUUAGCAUGUUGCA